CCUACGGGUGGCAGCAGUGAGGAAUAUUGGUCAAUGGACGGAAGUCUGAACCAGCCAUGCCGCGUGCAGGAAGACGGCUCUAUGAGUUGUAAACUGCUUUUGUACAAGGGUAAACAUGAAUACGUGUAUUCAGCUGAAAGUACUGUACGAAUAAGGAUCGGCUAACUCCGUGCCAGCAGCCGCGGUAAUACGGAGGAUCCAAGCGUUAUCCGGAUUUAUUGGGUUUAAAGGGUGCGUAGGCGGAAUGCCAAGUCAGCGGUAAAAUCGCGGGGCUCAACCUCGCUCCGCCGUUGAAACUGGCGUUCUCGAGUGGGAGAGAAGUAUGCGGAAUGCGUGGUGUAGCGGUGAAAUGCAUAGAUAUCAGGAGGAACACCGGUGGCGAAGGCGGCCUGCUGGACUGCAACUGACGUUGAGGCCCGAAAGCGUGGGGAGCAAACAGGAUUAGAUACCCCUGUAGUC
rnacentral:rRNA from 1 species